UAUCUCGCUGGGGCCUCCAAAUGUUAUGGGUUGGCUCAACGAGAUAGACCACCAACUCAGAAUUUAAAUUUGAAAGCCUUUAUUA
ensembl:miRNA